GAUGAACGCUGGCGGCGUGCCUAAUACAUGCAAGUCGAGCGAACAGACGAGGAGCUUGCUCCUCUGACGUUAGCGGCGGACGGGUGAGUAACACGUGGAUAACCUACCUAUAAGACUGGGAUAACUUCGGGAAACCGGAGCUAAUACCGGAUAAUAUAUUGAACCGCAUGGUUCAAUAGUGAAAGACGGUUUUGCUGUCACUUAUAGAUGGAUCCGCGCCGCAUUAGCUAGUUGGUAAGGUAACGGCUUACCAAGGCAACGAUGCGUAGUCGACCUGAGAGGGUGAUCGGCCAUACUGGAACUGAGACACGGUCCAGACUCCUACGGGAGGCAGCAGUAGGGAAUCUUCCGCAAUGGGCGAAAGCUUGACGGAGCAACGCCGCGUGAGUGAUGAAGGUCUUCGGAUCGUAAAACUCUGUUAUUAGGGAAGAACAAAUGUGUAAGUAACUAUGCACGUCUUGACGGUACCUAAUCAGAAAGCCACGGCUAACUACGUG
rnacentral:rRNA from 1 species